AAAAUUGUGGUAGUGUCAAGCA
rnacentral:miRNA from 14 species